AUUCAUUAUGUAUUGUCUGUGGCUGCUUUUCUCACUACGCCGAAGUAAUUACAACAGAGACAAUAUGGCCUGCAAAGCCUAAAAUAUUUACUGUCUGACCAUUCACAGAGAAAGUUUCGCAACCCUGGUCUACAAUAUAGUUGGAUUCGACUACAAAGGAUCUGGGGUAGGAAGGAGGAAGUAUGACUGCCUGGUAAGGAAAGGAAAAGAAAGCGGGAAACACUGGAAAAGUAAACGAGUUCUUUCCUGUGAAGCCAAGGCCAUCUGCAUCAGGCACAUUGGAAGAUUGGACAUGCUUAAGAAACCUCGAGGCCAACGCUCUGAUAUUCAGCAUCAACACCCUUCUUGCUAGUCUAACCUAUCUACAGAAACACAAGAAAAAAAUUUCCAUGUAAAAAAUGGUAAACGGCAGUUGAAGAAUAUCAACAAUUAUUGACAGUGAGACUUUUGAAAGGCUGCAAAUGAAUCAAAAAAAAAAAAAAAAGAGAGAAGAAAAGAAGCAUCCAUAAUAUAGUCUCAUCUUCCAUAACUCUUACUACCAAAGUGCACGACUCAGGUAAACAACACAGAGAUCAUCUCACACAAGCACAAAGGAAGCAUGAAAAAAGCUGAACCUGAGCAUCAGAAGACCCUCUGAGACUUUGCCCUGGCUGUUCCGCUAACUGCCUAUGUGUGAUGAGUUGUCAAGUCUCCAGGGUCCCUCAACACUUGGAAUAAGGAAAUAGGAUCUUUCCCUCUGAGAGGAGCCAGAAAGAAAUACAGCAAUGAAGAAAACAGACCAAAAGGCCUGCCCUCAUCAGCUCAGAGGAGGAAAAACAGCUCAGAGAAAGAAUGACUGGGGCUUAGCCUAGAAGAUGUGUUGGCUGUGAACGUACUAGUGGGGAAAGCAGGGAUCAGUUGGCAAACUACUGCGGCCCCUACAGCACAGCCUGUGACCUGUUUCUUUUCAAGCUAAGAA